GCUCCGGUGGCCUAGUGGUUAGAGAGUUGGCUUUGAAUGUGAGAGGUCGCGGAUUCGAACCCUGUCUGAGUCA